rnacentral:rRNA from 1 species
UACGGAGGAUGCGAGCGUUAUCCGGGUUUAUUGGGUUUAAAGGGUGCGUAGGCGGAUCGUUAAGUCAGUGGUCAAAUUGAGGGGCUCAACCCCUUCCCGCCAUUGAAACUGGCGAUCUUGAGUGGAAGAGAAGUAUGCGGAAUGCGUGGUGUAGCGGUGAAAUGCAUAGAUAUCACGCAGAACCCCGAUUGCGAAGGCAGCAUGCCGGCUUCCUACUGACGCUGAAGCACGAAAGCGUGGGGAUCGAACAGG